UUAAACUUACUUUGUUGUAAAUGGGAAUAUGAAUGACUUCUCGUUUACCGGAGUGAGUGACGACAUUCUUGACCAACCACAUACUUGUAGCAAAUAUGCGCAUGAAUAAAACAUACAAGUAUUUUUUUUUGGCAUUUUUACACAACGUACUAUAUAGAUGGGUCAAAACAAUUGAACCUCAACUAUAUGUGCUUACCUUAUUUAUGUUUCGUAACAACGAUAAAUACAUA
rnacentral:lncRNA from 1 species